rnacentral:rRNA from 1 species
CAAGCCCUGGAAACGGGGUCUAAUACCGGAUACUGAUCCUCGCGGGCAUCUGCGAGGUUCGAAAGCUCCGGCGGUGCAGGAUGAGCCCGCGGCCUAUCAGCUUGUUGGUGAGGUAAUGGCUCACCAAGGCGACGACGGGUAGCCGGCCUGAGAGGGCGACCGGCCACACUGGGACUGAGACACGGCCCAGACUCCUACGGGAGGCAGCAGUGGGGAAUAUUGCACAAUGGGCGAAAGCCUGAUGCAGCGACGCCGCGUGAGGGAUGACGGCCUUCGGGUUGUAAACCUCUUUCAGCAGGGAAGAAGCGAAAGUGACGGUACCUGCAGAAGAGGCGCCGGCUAACUACGUGCCAGCAGCCGCGGUAAUACGUAGGGCGCAAGCGUUGUCCGGAAUUAUUGGGCGUAAAGAGCUCGUAGGCGGCUUGUCACGUCGGUUGUGAAAGCCCGGGGCUUAACCCCGGGUCUGCAGUCGAUACGGGCAGGCUAGAGUUCGGUAGGGGAGAUCGGAAUUCCUGGUG